rnacentral:tRNA from 1 species
GGAUGUGUGCCUGAAUACCUAAGGGUUACUUUGAUAGAGUAAACAAUGGGGAAUAAUUAACCCCCACCUCCU